rnacentral:rRNA from 1 species
UACGUAGGUCGCAAGCGUUAUCCGGAUUUACUGGGCGUAAAGCGUCCGCAGUCGGUUUGAUAAGUCUGCUUUCAAAUACCGGAGCUCAACUCCGGCAAGGGAGCAGAUACUGUCUCACUAGAGAAUUGUAGAGGUGAGUAGAAUUUCCAGUGGAGGGGUGAAAUCCGUUGAUAUUGGAAGGAAUACCAAAAGCGAAAGCAGCUCACUAUACUUUUUCUGACGAUCAGGGACGACAGCUUGGGUAGCAAACGGG